GUGCUAUGAUGUUACUAUCAACACAUCAUUCUGAAGAGAACUGGUGCGGAGACUUAAUAUAACUGAGCACA
ensembl:snoRNA SNORD63 Small nucleolar RNA SNORD63